rnacentral:snRNA from 1 species
UUGCUUUAGCAGUUCAUAUACUAAAAUUGGAACAAUACAGAAAUUAGCAUGGCCCCUGCGCAAGUAUGACAAGAAAAUAUAUUAUUAAAAAGAAAAUCUC